rnacentral:tRNA from 1 species
GGGCGGUUAGCUCAGUUGGCUAGAGCGUCUCGUUUACACCGAGAAGGUCGGGGGUUCGAGCCCCUCACCGCCCACCA